CGGACGGGUGAGUAACGCGUGAGCAACCUGCCUUUCAGAGGGGGGAUAACGUUUGGAAACGAACGCUAAUACCGCAUGAGACUACAGUACUACAUGGUACAGUGGCCAAAGGAGCAAUCCGCUGAAAGAUGGGCUCGCGUCCGAUUAGAUAGUUGGCGGGGUAACGGCCCACCAAGUCGACGAUCGGUAGCCGGACUGAGAGGUUGAACGGCCACAUUGGGACUGAGACACGGCCCAGACUCCUACGGAAGGCAGCAG
rnacentral:rRNA from 1 species